rnacentral:rRNA from 1 species
CCUACGGGAGGCAGCAGUGGGGAAUAUUGCGCAAUGGGCGAAAGCCUGACGCAGCGACGCCGCGUGAGGGAUGAAGGUCUUCGGAUCGUAAACCUCUGUCAGCAGGGAAGAACGGUCACUGUGCUAAUCAGCAGUGCAUUGACGGUACCUGCAAAGGAAGCACCGGCGAACUCCGUGCCAGCAGCCGCGGCAAUACGGAGGGUGCGAGCGUUAAGCGGAAGUACUGGGCGUAAAGCGCUCGUAGGCGGUAUGUCAAGUCAAGGGUGAAAUCCCGGCGCUCAACGUGGGAACUGCCUUUGAUACUGGCAAACUUGAGUGUGUGAGAGGCUAGUGGAAUUCGUGGUGUAGGAGUGAAAUCCGUAGAUAUCUGGAGGAACAUCAGUGGCGAAGGCGACUAUCUGGAACAUAACUGACGCUGAGGAGCGAAAGCGUGGGUAGCAAACAGGAUUAGAUACCCGAGUAGUC